GUGUCAAUUUCGUACCUAUUGUCACUUCUUUUGGGCAUUACAUACGAAUACGGAGAGCAAGGGAAGAUCAGCGACUGGAUUUGGGGGGAGCAUUUUUUCGGCUACGCAUUCUACUUACUGUAUAGUGAAUUCUAAGAUUGGGUGAAGGAGUUAUGAGGCGUUGAAGACAGCACUUAUAAUUUGAAGGCAGUAAGUAUAUCGUUUUGUUGCUAGUUAUGGGUGA
rnacentral:lncRNA from 1 species